rnacentral:rRNA from 1 species
UCCAGCUCCAAUAGCGUAUAUUAAAGUUGUUGCAGUUAAAAAGCUCGUAGUUGAAAUUGGGCGCGGCUGGCCGGUCCGCCUCACGGCGUGAACUGGUCUUGGCCGUGCUUUCCUCUUGGGCCGCCCGAGAGCGCUUCACUGUGCGCUCGGGAUGGCCCAGGACUUUUACUUUGAAAAAAUUAGAGUGUUCAAAGCAGGCAUUUGCUCGGAUACAUUAGCAUGGAAUAAUAGAAUAGGACGUCGAUCCUAUUUUGUUGGUUUCUAGGACCGCCGUAAUGAUUAAUAGGGAUAGUUGGGGGCAUUAGUAUUCAAUUGUCAGAGGUGAAAUUCUUGGAUUUAUUGAAGACUAACUACUGCGAAAGCAUUUGCCAAGGAUGUUUUCAUUAAUCAAGAACGAAAGUUGGGGGAUCGAAGACGAUUAGAUACCGUCGUAGUCUCAACCAUAAACUAUGCCGACUAGGGAUCGGGCGCAGUUUCAAAUGACUCGCUCGGCACCUUAAGAGAAAUCAAAGUUUUUGGGUUCUGGGGGGAGUAUGGUCGCAAGGCUGAAACUUAAAGGAAUUGACGGAAGGGCACCACCAGGAGUGGAGCCUGCGGCUUAAUUUGACUCAACACGGGGAAACUCACCAGGUCCAGACACAGUAAGGAUUGACAGAUUGAGAGCUCUUUCUUGAUUCUGUGAUUGGUGGUGCAUGGCCGUUCUUAGUUGGUGGAGUGAUUUGUCUGCCUAAUCGCGAUAACGAACGAGACCCUUACCUGCUAAAUAGUCGACUUGGCUUCGGCCGGGACCUUUUAGGUUACGACUUCUUAGAGGGACUGGAGGCUCCAAGCCUCAGGAAGCCGGGGGCAAUAAC